CUCUCAUGGAAAUCUGCUUAAAGAUGUCGUCCUCCUGCCAUCGUGUGUCAAUUUGAGCAGGCUCUUCCUCAGAUUAGCUAAUAGGAAACUUUUGUUCCUUUAGAGGAGCAGAGGAACUGCCUUCGUUUCAUUGAGCUGUCAGAAACCUGAACACCAGGAAGCAAUUGUUUUUGAUUGCAGAUUUGGCAUUUAUCUGUUGCUGUGACCUGGGCACUUGGAGCAAUGUACUGAGCACAGUGGCUUUGCAGCCACAAACCAGACACCUACCUACUGACCUACCUACCUACCUACCUACCAAUGAACUGAUCGAUCUACCAACCUACCUACCGACCUACCUACCGACCUAUGUACCUACCUACCAACUGAUCAAACAACAGACCAACCAACGGACCAACCAACUGACCUACUUAUACCAAGCUGGUGGGCAAUAUGCAUCUUGGAUGAGCUUCACCAACAGUCUAAGAUCUCCACAAAUGUACAUUUUUGGUUAGAAAAGUAGUAUUGUGAAAGCGAAGCUGCAAAGAUAAUCCUGCAGCACUUUACACUUUCUGCAUUAAUUGUUUUCUAUACCCUGUUUUAAGUAGUUUGGGGGUGAGCUUUUGAGAAGCAGAUUUGUGUCAGAUGCUUACAAACAGCAGAAAGAAGUCUUCCUAAUGGCAAGGUGGUUGCUCCCUGCAACUAUAGAGCACGUACACGUGAAGCUGUGUCUGCAUUCAAGAAGAAAUGAGGAUGUAUGCUUGAAUGAACAUUUGGAUAUUCAAAUAUUUAUUCAUUUCUACUGAAAGUAUAGCAAUUUUAGAGGAAAACAGAGAUCUCUUUGCUGUCUACAAAUGGUGAAUGAGAAGUAGAAAACUACGGAUGAACUGUUUUGGUUUAAUAUUAGUCAGGCAGCCUAGAAGUAAAACCUGACCUACCAUUACACAUACAGUCCAGAUUCAGUAACAAGCCUCAGUGGUAAUGCUCAGAAAGUCUCAGGAGUCAGGCAAGCAGGAAACUUACAGACCAUUUACCAUAAACAUCUAAUUUAAUCAUCACCCCAUGUCUUUUUCAUGUUAUGAUCCUUCCUUUGAUUUCGUCCACCUGUUUUAACUUCCCUCAAACCCAGACCACAGCUUAUGGCCAGCUCCAUCCCCUCUCUAUCUUGUACACCAAGGCUGUCUGGAGCCAGCUGCUAUACCAGCAGGAAACCAUUCAUGUGCAGACAGCCUUUAGCUGUAUGUCUAUGUACAAAGCACACCCAUUUCAGAGACAGACCGCAGUCAAAAACAAGAUUUUAGACAUUUACAAACCUGCAAGAAGUUAGAGAAGCCAACACCUCCAAUUUACUCAUAUAUUUUCUUUCCCUGGACGAUGAGGUAAUGUACUUACAAAUAAUUCAAGAGCAAAAACACUGAUACAGAUAAAGUGCAAAAACUCUCAUGAACAUUAAGAAGAUACAAAGAGAAAUACUGAUUUUGUGAAAACAGUUUCCCAGUCAGUCUUCAAGCUCACUCUUCAGCCGCUGUGAGAGUAGCAUCUCCUUUUGAUGGGAUUAUUUCUGUUAUAGUUACUGACUUAAAGAAUAAUUUAUCAGAACUAUAAUAUGCAGAGAUGUACUCAGUUGUAUAACUCAGUGUUAGUGCACAUUAUCCUUUGUAGUGCUAAUGGGUUUUAUUUGGCUUUCUAUUUUCGUUGUCAAGUCACUCAACUGAGAGACAGCCACAGCAGUCAUUUACAGAGUGACUAAGUUACAUAGGAGUAUCUAUCGGGAUGCACAGUCAUAUCUAGUGACAGCUGCAAGGAGAGUUUCCGUAAGUUGAAUGCAAUUAGUGAACAGAAACAUAGCCAGCGUUUGUGCAGUAAUGUUACAGUAUCCACGUGGCUCAUAAUGAGCCAUUUUACUUCUGAUCAUAGUCAUUGGGGCAGCAGCUCCAGUGGGUGCCAUGGCAUUGCUGCUGUCAGCUGGUGUUUCCCAGCCUCAGGCUGCUCCUGGAGGGCACCUCACACAAGCACAUCUGCCCUGUUUACACACAGGAAAUCCUUCCAAACAGAGCCAAUUUCAACACUAUCAGCCUCCGUAAUAAGCUGUGCAAAGCUUUACUGAGUAUCAUAAGUCUGUUUGGGCCUUUCCGAGUGGUGAUGGCCACGAUGCACUGCACAGGUGGUGAGAAGGAUGUGCUGUGCCUGAGCUCUGCGUCCCACAGACAUGGGACCCACAGGGCCUUCCUGGAGGACAAGCGAUAGCACUGCCCUCUGUGUGCUUAUAGAGGAGAAAUUCCUCCCUCCCUCUCCCCCAUACAACCUGGAACCAAGGUUUUGAGAGCACCUUCAUGCUUUUUUUGUUUUAUGCGCCUUAAGAGCCUGAAGAAGCGGUGAAGAAAAUCUUAUCCAAGGUGUUUACUGACCAUAAAAAACAGCCAAGGACAGAACACAGUGGAACAGAUAAACCUUGUGGUUGUGAAAUAUGACUCAUGCGGGUGGUUAAAGAGAGGGAGAGCAAAACACAUUCAUCUUAACAUGCGGAGUUGGAUUCUGUUCUCUCAAUUUCUAUGACAAAUGUCCAGGUCCCACCUUAUCAACUGCACCUGUUUAACAACAGCAGCUGAACUGCAGGGGCUGGACAGAGAAUUUAAUGUUGUUCCUCAGAAAGUCUGCCACUUCAUUUCUAAUGGCAAAUGUGAGGUAAGAUUUUCUCCCCAAGAAGCAGUUUAAUUUGUUAUCAAGAAUAUGAAGAGAAACUCAUAGA